AUUGAACGCUGGCGGCAUGCCUUACACAUGCAAGUCGAACGGCAGCACGGGGGCAACCCUGGUGGCGAGUGGCGAACGGGUGAGUAAUGCAUCGGAACGUGCCCAGUAGUGGGGGAUAACCCGGCGAAAGCCGGGCUAAUACCGCAUACGACCUACGGGUGAAAGCGGGGGACCGUAAGGCCUCGCGCUAUUGGAGCGGCCGAUGUCUGAUUAGCUAGUUGGCGGGGUAAAGGCCCACCAAGGCGACGAUCAGUAGCUGGUCUGAGAGGACGACCAGCCACACUGGGACUGAGACACGGCCCAGACUCCUACGGGAGGCAGCAGUGGGGAAUUUUGGACAAUGGGCGCAAGCCUGAUCCAGCCAUGCCGCGUGCGGGAAGAAGGCCUUCGGGUUGUAAACCGCUUUUGGCAGGAACGAAACGGCGCAAGCUAAUACCUUGCGCUAAUGACGGUACCUGCAGAAUAAGCACCGGCUAACUACGUGCCAGCCGCCGCCGUAA
rnacentral:rRNA from 1 species